rnacentral:rRNA from 1 species
UACGUAGGGCGCGAGCGUUGUCCGGAAUUAUUGGGCGUAAAGAGCUCGUAGGCGGCUUGUCACGUCGGGUGUGAAAGACCGGGGCUUAACUCCGGUUCUGCAUUCGAUACGGGCUAGCUAGAGUGUGGUAGGGGAGAUCGGAAUUCCUGGUGUAGCGGUGGAAUGCGCAGAUAUCAGGAGGAACACCGGUGGCGAAGGCGGGUCUCUGGGCAGUAACUGACGCUGAGGAGCGAAAGCGUGGGGAGCGAACAGG